AAUAGAAAUGUUUAUAUAAUAAAAAAAGUUACCAUUGUGAUAAAGCGUUAUGACAGUAUUUGUGACUUCUUUUAAGUAUGUGAAGAUGCAAGGAUAUAAUGACAUUAAUAAUAUUAACAAUUAUGCAGACUUUUUUUCUCAGAAGUAGGGCUGGCAAAAUAAACCCAUUAACUAAAUUUUGGGUCAAGAUGGACAUUUAAAAUAACAGUUUGGGUUAUGUUGGGCCAUAAGUAAAUUGUUAGUAGGUCAAGAUGGACCAAAGUAUAUUAAACAUAAUCACAAGAUGGGUCAGAAUGGGUAAGACAUUAUCACCUAGUAGGUCAAGAUGGGUAAGAACACGCACAAUUAGGGUUUCUCAGAAAGAGCAACUACAAGACCGAUCUCUCUCAAUCUCUCAUCAUCCUCCUCCUCUUCCACACGGCGAGUUCUUUGAAUGCGAACCUGUGACUACCAUAGUUCCAUUGUUUCAGCAGAUUAAAUUAAAUAUGUCGGGUAACGAUGAUCACGAAGAUGAAGUUAGUUCAUUUAGUUUGGGCAAACAUUCUUCCGUGGUUUGAAGCUAUUUUGAUAAAUUAAAUAUGUCGGGUAACGCUUGUUUUGUAUGCGAUGAUUUUGGAUAUACAGUUGUUACGAAUCUGGGUUUGUGAAUCUAGGGUUCAUUUGUACGAAUCUUGUAAAAAAUUGUGUCCGUUCAAUUCGUUGGAAAGAUUAAUCAAGAUAUAGUGUGAAUCUAGGGUUCAUUUGUA